rnacentral:rRNA from 1 species
GGGUUGUGAGGUUAAGCGACUAAGCGUACACGGUGGAUGCCCUGGCAGUCAGAGGCGAUGAAGGGCGUGCUAAUCUGCGAUAAGCGCCGGUAAGGUGAUAUGAACCGUUAUAACCGGCGAUACCCGAAUGGGGAAACCCAGUGUGAUUCGUCACACUAUCAUUAACUGAAUCCAUAGGUUAAUGAGGCGAACCGGGGGAACUGAAACAUCUAAGUACCCCGAGGAAAAGAAAUCAACCGAGAUUCCCCCAGUAGCGGCGAGCGAACGGGGAGGAGCCCAGAGCCUGAAUCAGCAUGUGUGUUAGUGGAAGCGUCUGGAAAGGCGCGCGAUACAGGGUGACAGCCCCGUACACAAAAGCGCAUGUGCUGUGAGCUCGAUGAGUAGGGCGGGACACGUGGUAUCCUGUCUGAAUAUGGGGGGACCAUCCUCCAAGGCUAAAUACUCCUGACUGACCGAUAGUGAACCAGUACCGUGAGGGAAAGGCGAAAAGAACCCCGGCGAGGGGAGUGAAAAAGAACCUGAAACCGUGUACGUACAAGCAGUGGGANNNNNNNNNNNNNNNNNNNNNNNNNNNNNNNGGGCGUUAAGUUGCAGGGUAUAGACCCGAAACCCGGUGAUCUAGCCAUGGGCAGGUUGAAGGUUGGGUAACACUAACUGGAGGACCGAACCGACUAAUGUUGAAAAAUUAGCGGAUGACCUGUGGCUGGGGGUGAAAGGCCAAUCAAACCGGGAGAUAGCUGGUUCUCCCCGAAAGCUAUUUAGGUAGCGCCUCGUGAAUUCAUCUCCGGGGGUAGAGCACUGUUUCGGCUAGGGGGCCAUCCCGGCUUACCAACCCGAUGCAAACUGCGAAUACCGGAGAAUGUUAUCACGGGAGACACACGGCGGGUGCUAACGUCCGUCGUGAAGAGGGAAACAACCCAGACCGCCAGCUAAGGUCCCAAAGUCAUGGUUAAGUGGGAAACGAUGUGGGAAGGCCCAGACAGCCAGGAUGUUGGCUUAGAAGCAGCCAUCAUUUAAAGAAAGCGUAAUAGCUCACUGGUCGAGUCGGCCUGCGCGGAAGAUGUAACGGGGCUAAACCAUGCACCGAAGCUGCGGCAGCGACACUGUGUGUUGUUGGGUAGGGGAGCGUUCUGUAAGCCUGCGAAGGUGGCCUGUGAGGGUUGCUGGAGGUAUCAGAAGUGCGAAUGCUGACAUAAGUAACGAUAAAGCGGGUGAAAAGCCCGCUCGCCGGAAGACCAAGGGUUCCUGUCCAACGUUAAUCGGGGCAGGGUGAGUCGACCCCUAAGGCGAGGCCGAAAGGCGUAGUCGAUGGGAAACGGGUUAAUAUUCCCGUACUUGGUGUUACUGCGAAGGGGGGACGGAGAAGGCUAUGUUGGCCGGGCGACGGUUGUCCCGGUUUAAGCGUGUAGGUGUGUGUUCCAGGUAAAUCCGGUUCACUUUAACACUGAGGCGUGACGACGAGGCACUACGGUGCUGAAGCAACAAAUGCCCUGCUUCCAGGAAAAGCCUCUAAGCAUCAGGUAACAUCAAAUCGUACCCCAAACCGACACAGGUGGUCAGGUAGAGAAUACCAAGGCGCUUGAGAGAACUCGGGUGAAGGAACUAGGCAAAAUGGUGCCGUAACUUCGGGAGAAGGCACGCUGACACGUAGGUGAAGUGAUUUACUCAUGGAGCUGAAGUCAGUCGAAGAUACCAGCUGGCUGCAACUGUUUAUUAAAAACACAGCACUGUGCAAACACGAAAGUGGACGUAUACGGUGUGACGCCUGCCCGGUGCCGGAAGGUUAAUUGAUGGGGUCAGCGCAAGCGAAGCUCCUGAUCGAAGCCCCGGUAAACGGCGGCCGUAACUAUAACGGUCCUAAGGUAGCGAAAUUCCUUGUCGGGUAAGUUCCGACCUGCACGAAUGGCGUAAUGAUGGCCAGGCUGUCUCCACCCGAGACUCAGUGAAAUUGAACUCGCUGUGAAGAUGCAGUGUACCCGCGGCAAGACGGAAAGACCCCGUGAACCUUUACUAUAGCUUGACACUGAACAUUGAGCCUUGAUGUGUAGGAUAGGUGGGAGGCUUUGAAGUGUGGACGCCAGUCUGCAUGGAGCCGACCUUGAAAUACCACCCUUUAAUGUUUGAUGUUCUAACGUGGACCCGUUACCCGGGUUGCGGACAGUGUCUGGUGGGUAGUUUGACUGGGGCGGUCUCCUCCUAAAGAGUAACGGAGGAGCACGAAGGUUGGCUAAUCCUGGUCGGACAUCAGGAGGUUAGUGCAAUGGCAUAAGCCAGCUUGACUGCGAGCGUGACGGCGCGAGCAGGUGCGAAAGCAGGUCAUAGUGAUCCGGUGGUUCUGAAUGGAAGGGCCAUCGCUCAACGGAUAAAAGGUACUCCGGGGAUAACAGGCUGAUACCGCCCAAGAGUUCAUAUCGACGGCGGUGUUUGGCACCUCGAUGUCGGCUCAUCACAUCCUGGGGCUGAAGUAGGUCCCAAGGGUAUGGCUGUUCGCCAUUUAAAGUGGUACGCGAGCUGGGUUUAGAACGUCGUGAGACAGUUCGGUCCCUAUCUGCCGUGGGCGCUGGAGAACUGAGGGGGGCUGCUCCUAGUACGAGAGGACCGGAGUGGACGCAUCACUGGUGUUCGGGUUGUCAUGCCAAUGGCACUGCCCGGUAGCUAAAUGCGGAAGAGAUAAGUGCUGAAAGCAUCUAAGCACGAAACUUGCCCCGAGAUGAGUUCUCCCUGAGACUUAGAGUCUCCUGAAGGAACGUUGAAGACGACGACGUUGAUAGGCCGGGUGUGUAAGCGCAGCGAUGCGUUGAGCUAACCGGUACUAAUGAACCGUGAGGCUUAACCUUACAACGCCGAAG